UAAUCAUCGUGUCAAUAAUGG
rnacentral:piRNA from 1 species